UGAAAAUUCUGUGGUAACAUUUGGCUGUU
rnacentral:piRNA from 1 species